rnacentral:lncRNA from 1 species
AGAACCAUUUAUGUAGCACAAGACCGUGAUACUUUCUUCCAUCACUACAUAUAUAACAAAUACAACAACUUUAGCAAGCUCCAUAUAAAAUCAUCAAUAAUAUGCAAAAUAGAGUAAACUACAUGGCUCAAGGUCAGAAAUUAAAAUAAAAUCUUCAAAUAACAUAACAACACUAAAUUAAAAUAGAUAAUAAUAUGAAAAAAAAAAUUUCAGAGGGGGGAUGAUGGGAACCACCAAUGAUCGGACC